AGUGAACGCUGGCGGUAGGCCUAACACAUGCAAGUCGAACGGCAGCACAGGAGAGCUUGCUCUCUGGGUGGCGAGUGGCGGACGGGUGAGGAAUACAUCGGAAUCUACUUUUUCGUGGGGGAUAACGUAGGGAAACUUACGCUAAUACCGCAUACGACCUACGGGUGAAAGCAGGGGAUCUUUGGACCUUGCGCGAUUGAAUGAGCCGAUGUCGGAUUAGCUAGUUGGCGGGGUAAAGGCCCACCAAGGCGACGAUCCGUAGCUGGUCUGAGAGGAUGAUCAGCCACACUGGAACUGAGACGCGGUCCAGACUCCUACGGGAGGCAGCAGUGGGGAAUAUUGGACAAUGGGCGAAAGCCUGAUCCAGCCAUACCGCGUGGGUGAAGAAGGCCUUCGGGUUGUAAAGCCCUUUUGUUGGGAAAGAAAUCCAGCUGGUUAAUACCCGGUUGGGAUGACGGCACCCAAAGAAUAAGCACCGGCUAACUUCGUGCCAGCCGCCGCCGUAA
rnacentral:rRNA from 1 species